rnacentral:rRNA from 1 species
AGUGAACGCUGGCGGUAGGCCUAACACAUGCACGUCGAACGGCAGCACAGUAAGAGCUUGCUCUUACAGGUGGCGACCGGCGGACGGGCGCGGAAUACAUCGGAAUCUACUUUUAAUACGGCGACUCCGACCGGCGACCUACGCUAAUACCUCAUACUACCUACGGCUGAAAGCAGGGGACCUUCGGACCUUCCGCGAUCCAUUGAGCCGACGUCGGAUUGGCUAGUUGGCGGGGUAAAGGCCCACCAAGGCGACGAUCCGUAACUGGUCUGUGAGGAUGCUCAGCCACACUGGAACUGACACUCGGUCCAGACUACUACGGGACUGAGCAGUGAGGAAUAGUGGACCAUGCGCGCAGGCCUGAUCCAGCCAUACCGCGUGGGUGAAGAAGGCCUCCGGCUUGCAAAGCCCUCUUAUUGGGAAAGAACAGCAGUCGCCUAACAUCCCGCCGUGCUGACGGUACCCAAACAAUAAGCUCCGGCUAAUCUCUUG